rnacentral:tRNA from 1 species
GGCACAGUGGCACAGUGGUUAGUGCAGUCUGCCGGAAACAGAGAGACGCGGGUUCAAUUCCCGUCCGAUGUCA